AUGGGGUACAAGGUCAAACAGCUCCAGGAGAUCUGGGGCUGUGGAGUCUCAACAACAGCCCCAUCUGUCUAUCCACUGGCUCCUGCAUGUCCAACUGGCUCCACAGUGACCCUGGGAUGCCUGGUCAAGGGCUAUUUCCCUGAGCCGGCGACCGUAACCUGGAACUCUGGAAGCCUGACCAGCGGCGUGCACAUCUUCCCAUCAGUCCUGGAUUCUGGGCUCUACUCCCUCAGCAGCUCAGUGACUGUGUCCUCCAGCAUGUGGCCCAGUCAGACCGUCAUCUGCAAUGUCGCCCACCCGGCCAGCAGCACCAAGGUGGACAAGAAAAUUGAGCGUGGAGGUGAAUUUGAUCCGUGUCGUAACUGUCCUAAGUGUCCAGCUCCUGAUCUCUUGGGUGGACCAUCCGCCUUCAUCUUCCCCCCAAAGCCAAAGGAUGUGCUCAUGAUGUCCAUGGAGCCCAAGAUCACAUGUGUGGUGGUGGACGUGAGUGAGGAAGAACCAGAUGUCCAGUUCAGCUGGUUUGUGAACAAUAAAGAAGAGAAAACAGCUCAGACACAGCCCCGUGAGCAGCAGUACAACAGUACCUUCCGCGUGGUCAGUGUUCUCCGCAUCCAGCACAAUGACUGGUUGAAUGGCAAGGAGUUCAAAUGCAAGGUCAAAAACAAUGCCCUCCCAAGCCCCAUCGAGAAAACCAUCUCGAAACCCAAAGGGCAAGUCCGAAUGCCACAGGUCUAUACCUUUCCUCCACCUGCGGAGCAGAUGACCAAGAAAGAGGUCAGUGUGACCUGCUUGGUCACAGGCUUCCUCCCUGAGGACAUCCAUGUAGAGUGGCAGAGCAACGGGAAGGAAGAGCAGAACUACAGGAACACCCCACCUGUCUUAGACUCUGAAGGCUCUUACUUCAUGUACAGCAAGCUCACUGUGCCAAAGAGCAGGUGGGAUCGGGGAGAUAGCUUCAACUGCUUCGUGCUACAUGAGGCUCUGCACAGCCACCAGACGAUGAAGUCCAUCUCCCGGUCUCAGGAGCUGGAACUGGACGACAGCUGUGCUGAGGCCCUGGACGGGGAGCUGGACGGGCUCUGGACGACCAUCACCAUCUUCAUCACCCUCUUCCUGCUCAGCGUGUGCUACAGUGCCACGGUCACACUCUUCAAGGUAAAGUGGAUCUUCUCCUCAGUGGUGGAACUGAAGCAAGCAAUCUCCCCUGACUACAGAAAUAUGAUUGGGCAGGGGGCCUAGGCCACUUCCUCUGAGAUGAUCAGGGUUUCCUAGGCCCUGCACAACCCCAUCCAUCUUACUAUGGAAGCUAACAUGGAGCCCACACUGCCCUCUGAUGUCACCACCCUCUGACCCUAUGAUGCUCUGAAUCAGCACUCUCAAUUGUUGACCCUUCGGAGAACCAUGUGGACAGCAGGCUUUGUCCCAGAUCUGGGCAACACCCCCACAGCAGUUGCCAGAUAACUAACUGUUUGGAACCAGAAGGACCAUCUCCCUUCAAACUGGCACCAGGGGAUCUGAGACCUCAGAAUGUUUGCCCAGGAGGAGUUGGGAGCCCACGUUGCCUGAGCCCAGCUGUGCUGGGGCCCAGCCUUGGAGCUAUCCUUGCUCACACCAUCCUCUGAAGAGGGUUUUCCCAGAAAGGAGAAAGUUUUUAAAUCCUUGAAAGGAAACAUGUGUUAAGAAGACGAGGGUCACCACAGCCCAAAAGAGACCACUGAAUGUCGGUACCCUUGUGCCCACUAUGCUUGGGCAGCUUCCUUCCUGGCACUUCUGUGAACCCUAGGCCAAGGAAAGGGCCUGUGUCUCUCAAACUGUUGGGACGUGCCUGCUGGAGAUAAGAGUAGUGACACCGGUCCCUGUUCCUGCUACUCACUCAAAAUGCUGGAUUCUCAGAUGCAGGAUCCAACCCACAGACACCGUUGACAACAAAACCUUGAGAUAAGGCCACUGCCACCUCCAUCGAGAUCCCAGCCACACUCUGGGGAGACGCUCAGAAGAACUGCAUUGCGAAGCCCUAGCAGGGACAAGUGCAGAGGCCACUGAGUAUUGGCUGGGUGAACAUCCAGAAAAACCUCCAGGAAAGGGCCCUGGUGAGAAUAUUGCUAUCAGCACCCCUCACCAAAAAAGAAGGCUGCCAAUGAGCAACAGGGAAAAGAUGUGAAGGGCUGACUGGAAGCGAGCCACAGUGCGGCAGACCUGCCCUGCCGGCCUGGCAUCCAGACUGGACCACUUACAGCAAUAAACACCAGUCAGGCAGGAAAACAGAGCUGGGGUACCAGGGCUGUAGCGGCCAGGGGACAGUAGCCCUGUGUCUAUUUCUCCAUCACCUCUCAGGGCCAGUUGAGAUGUCAGAGUCUCCAGACAGGAUGAGAGUGUGGGCAUCUGCCCUUCUGUGAAUGGCAGGAAAUGCUUAGAGAACUUGGACCUUUAACAGCUUCUUCCUUCUGGAGACUAUAAAUGCCUUUAAGGUCUCUGUGUGUGCAAGUGUGUGUGUGUGUUGCUGUUGUUUAGGUAUUUUCAACAAUAAAACAUUCUU